GAGCGUGUCGAAUACGAGCUCUGGACCAACAGCAACGACCAGUGUGGAAAAAAGUGUGAUACUCAGAUUGAGCUUCUCAAGAACUUCAAAGGAGCAGCUCAGAUUCUUGAGAAAGGAGGGCAUACUCAGUUCACGCCGCACUACAUCACCUGGUACUGCCCUGAGGCUUUUACGCUGAGUAAACAGUGCAAGUCUCAGUGUAUCAACCAUGGGAGGUACUGUGCGCCUGAUCCUGAGCAGGAUUUUACUAAAGGGUACGAUGGGAAAGAUGUUGUGGUUCAGAAUCUGCGCCAGGCUUGUGUUUAUAGAGUGUUGAAUGAGACUGGUAAGCCUUGGGUUUGGUGGGACUAUGUGACUGACUUCGCCAUCAGGUGUCCGAUGAAGGAUAAGAAGUACACUAAGGAGUGUGCAGACGAGAUUAUCAAGUCCCUUGGUGAGUUAUAUUGCUUCUUGAGAUUAUGGUCUUUGCUCCUGUGAUAUUAAUUCUGGAUUCUCUUUCUGUUAUCGUGCAUUCAGACAUUGAUCUCAAGAAGGUGGACAAGUGUAUCGGAGACCCUGACGCAGAUGUGGAGAACCCUAUUCUUAAAGCAGAACAGGAGUCCCAGGUUUGUCUUCUUGUAACCAGUUGGCUCUACUCUUCUCUACUAGAUCUCUUGUAAUGAGUUUGUUUCAGGUUGGCAAAGGUUCCCGGGGAGAUGUGACAAUACUUCCAACUCUUGUAGUGAACAACAGACAAUACAGAGGUACUGAAGAACAGCUAACUUAUCAGUUCCCUUUCUACACUUUUUGUUACUAACUCAAAUAUAUUUCAUGGGCAUUUAGGUAAAUUGGAGAAAGGGGCAGUGCUGAAAGCUAUGUGUUCAGGCUUUCAAGAGUCAACAGAACCAGCUAUAUGUCUAACUGAAGGUUCCAUCUCCAUAUCUCAUUUCUUUUAACGUUUUGGUGACAUUGAGUGAUGACAUCGUCUUGAGAUCAGUUUCUGUUUGUUUUUUUUUUUUGCAGAUUUAAAUACUAAUGAAUGUUUGGAAAACAAUGGUGGGUGCUGGCAAGACAAAGCUUCCAACAUAACUGCAUGCAGGGUAUACCGUUUAGCUUUGCUAUUUUUAUCUCUUUUCCAGUAUUUGGUUUUGUUGUUGCUACUUAAGACUGAUUACUCUUUGUUUCAUCUGAAUUUGGCAUUUCAGGAUACGUAUAGGGGAAGAUUGUGUGAAUGCCCUACUGUUCAAGGUGUUAAAUUUGCUGGUGACGGUUACACUCACUGCAAAGGUAUAUCAAUUUAUCUCCCUGUAGCUUGACAUAUUUUUUUGUGGAACAGGACACAAACUCUGGCAUGGCUAUUCUAUUUCCUGUGUAUUGCCUGCUCUCAGUUCUUAACGUUUUUUUUUCUUUCUUGGCAGCGUCUGGAGCUUUGCAUUGUGGUAUCAACAAUGGAGGAUGCUGGAGAGAAACCAGAGGCAGCUACACUUACUCUGCUUGCGUAGUAAGUAUUUCGUCUUCUUUAUCAAUGACUAAUUCUUGAAACAAUCAUCUUCUUAACCUAUAGUAAAAUUUCUUUGGUUUUUUUGAAAUGGAAUUUUCAGGAUGAUCAUUCAAGUGAUUGCAAAUGCCCACUUGGGUUCAAGGGCGAUGGAGUAAAGAGCUGCGAAGGUACUUGUUUACUAGCAUCUAUAUUCAUGCGGUCUGCUUGCAUACAGAACUAAACCGUAUUCUUUUGAUUGAAUGUGGUAGAUGUGAACGAGUGCAAAGAGAAAACGGUUUGCCAGUGCGCAGACUGUAAAUGUAAAAACACAUGGGGAAGUUAUGAAUGCAGCUGCAAGAAUGGUUUGCUCUACAUGCGUGAACACGACACUUGCAUAGGUUAACAAAAGAGAGAUCUUCCUUCUGUCUUAAACCCAUACUUAAUGAAGAGUCAUUAAUCAAGCUUUGAUGCUUUUGAAUGUGUAGGUUCAAGCAAAGUUGGAACUACAAAGCUCAGCUGGAGCUUCUUGUGGGUUCUUAUAAUCGGAGUGGGUGUUGCAGGUCUUGCCGGAUAUGCCGUCUACAAAUACAGGAUCAGGGUAUGUGUCUCUCGUUAUCUUAAUGUACACACAUGAAGAUCUUGCCAUCUAGAUUAACAAAAGAAACUCCUUGUGCAGAGUUACAUGGAUGCGGAGAUAAGAGGUAUCAUGGCACAGUACAUGCCUUUGGAGAGCCAACCUACCCCAAGUGGUCCUCAUAUGGAUAUAUGAGGUGAAGUUGUCAACACAAACCAAGAGAGAGACUCUUUCCACGGGAAGCUUCUUUUGUGUUUCCAUGUAAAUGAAUCUAAUAGACUUGAGAGAAGCAACAAAAAAUAAUAAUUUAAGUGUAUCUGCACUUUUUGUAAGGGAUGUGGAUUACAGAUGGAAUCACUCAUUGUCUGCAUUACUCUUGCAAUGUAAAAUAAGACAUAAAUGGAUGAAUAAAUGAGUAGGAGAGUUGCAUCUAUAUACUACUGAAAAUUUUUUGUUUUAGUAUUUUGGGAAAAGAUCCAAUUUUUGGAACUGAAUGUGUGUUUCUUAUUGUGAACACAGACUGUUUCUUCACUUUGAAAGCAUGGAUAGCUCAACAAGCUGGAGCAGCAGCGAUUCUUGUAGCCGACAACAAAGCCGAGCCAUUGAUUACAAUGGACACACCCGAAGAAGACAAAUCCGAUGCAGACUAUCUCCAAAACAUCACCAUCCCUUCUGCUCUCAUCACCAAGUCUCUGGGAGACAGUUUAAAGUCUGCUCUCUCCAAGGGCGACAUGGUGAACAUGAAUCUAGACUGGACCGAGUCUGUUCCACACCCUGACGAGCGUGUGGAAUACGAGCUCUGGACCAACAGCAACGACCAGUGUGGAAAAAAGUGUGAUACUCAGAUUGAGUUUCUCAAGAACUUCAAAGGAGCUGCUCAGAUUCUUGAGAAAGGAGGGCAUACUCAGUUCACGCCGCACUACAUCACCUGGUACUGCCCUGAGGCUUUUACGCUGAGUAAACAGUGCAAGUCUCAGUGUAUCAACCAUGGGAGGUACUGUGCGCCUGAUCCUGAGCAGGAUUUUACUAAAGGGUACGAUGGGAAAGAUGUUGUGGUUCAGAAUCUGCGCCAGGCUUGUGUUUAUAGAGUGUUGAAUGAGACUGGUAAGCCUUGGGUUUGGUGGGACUAUG
rnacentral:lncRNA from 1 species